rnacentral:rRNA from 1 species
CUACGGGACGCUCCAGUGAGGAAUAUUGCACAAUGGAGGAAACUCUGAUGCAGCAACGCCGCGUGGAGGAUGACGCAUUUCGGUGUGUAAACUCCUUUUAUAUGUCAAGAAAAUGACGGUAGCAUAUGAAUAAGCACCGGCUAACUCCGUGCCAGCAGCCGCGGUAAUACGGAGGGUGCAAGCGUUACUCGGAAUCACUGGGCGUAAAGGACGCGUAGGCGGGAUAUCAAGUCAGGUGUGAAAUCCUACAGCUUAACUGUAGAACUGCACUUGAAACUGGUAACCUAGAGUAUGGGAGGGGGAGAUGGAAUUAGUGGUGUAGGGGUAACAUCCGUAGAUAUCACUAGGAAUACCUAAAGCGAAGGCGAUCUCCUGGAACAUAACUGACGCUAAGGCGUGAAAGCGUGGGGAGCAAACAGGAUUAGAUACCCCAGUAGUC